AUCAUGAAAAUUAAUUAAUUAACUCUAUAUUACCCUCCUCAAUAUUCCAUUACAAAUACCAAGCUUCACUUGAAUAUAAAUACAAUAACUUUAUUUUUGUAAUUUGCACAUAAUAUUCACAACAAUCACACAUCCAAACACAAAAGCUACAAUGUAAAUCCACCUCUAGCCUAAGCUAAUAGACAAUUAUGCUAUUGUUAAGUUAAUCCUUUCGUUCAGACAAUCACCGGGGCAGACGAAAGGGUAACUCUCGAUCCACAAAUGCUCCGACCGACCGACCUUGAUUGAUCAGUGCUACCAAUAUCUACCACUGCUGCUGCUGCUGCUGCUGCUGCUGCAACCAUAAUCCAAGUGUUGCCAACACCUUCCAUUUCCAAUAACCGGUCUCUCGCAAGGAGCACCAUUGCAGGUGGUUGCUCCACAAAUUAAUAUAAUAUCAUCACCACCAUGGUCCAACCACCGCGGAGUAAAACUGCUACCAUAGCCGCCAUAAUUUAAGUUCCGCGAAGUAAAACAACUACUACUGCGACCAUAAUUCGUGUUGCGGAAAGGAUCGAUUCGAGAACUCCGAUAUGACUACAAGUAAAUUGACCGAAACGAAAAAUAAAGUGAACUCAAGGAUUUACGUGGUUCGGCUUUAAUGCCUACGUCCACGGGCAGAGGCGAAAAGAAAUUUCACUAUAACAAGAUGAAGAUUACAAGUGUUUUACACUCAAGACACAACCCGAGAACCUCACAACUCUCAACCCCUAUAGAAAACCCGAAAGCUAAAAUCCUAGCUUUCAAAGAACAAGCUUUGCUCUCUCUUGGUUUGGGAUGAUUUAUAUGGCUAAUGAACCUCUCUAUUUAUAAGAGAGUUCAAGGACAUAAUUGUCCAAAACUUUGGCAAAGAUUUGUGGUUGAAAAUGGACACCAACAACCAUCCACUAAUCCACUACCACCAACAACCCACUACCAACAACAACAAUCCACUACCAAUUUUAAGCCAUUUCUUAACAAAUCUCCACCUUGGCUUGAAAUUUACCAAGCUGAACAUCAUAGUGAAUUCCUCGAACUGGAUCACCUCUUCCAAACGCCUCUCUGGCGCUAAUCAAUCCCGAAUACCUAUCAAGUCCAAGCAAUGCUUGAACUUAUAUGCAGGGAUCACCUUAGUUAACAUAUCUGCAGGAUUCUUCUCGGUAGCAACCUUGCUGAUAACAAUGUCACCUUGCGUAACAUGUUCCCGAACAAAAUGAUAUCUGACAUCAAUGUGUUUGGUCCGUUCAUGAAACAUCUGAUUUUUAGUCAGAUGUAUGGCACUCUGGCUAUCGCAAAAUACAACAGUGAAAUCCUGUUGUAAACCCAAACUGCUUACUAGACCUUUCAUCCACAAUGCUUCUUUCACUGCUUCUGCUAACGCCAUAUAUUCCGCCUCAGUCGUAGAUAAGGCUACGGUAGACUGUAACACAGCUUUCCAACUAAUGGCUCCUCCAGAAUAAGUGAAAACAUAACCCGUCAGAGAUCUUCUUUUGUCCAGAUCUCCAGCAUAAUCAGAGUCCACAUAGCCCGUGACACUGCUAGUGCAGUCACUCUGAUCAUAUACCAAGCAUAAAUCUGCAGAACCUCUCAAGUACCUGAGAAUCCAUUUCACGGCCUGCCAGUGUUCCUUGCCAGGACAACUCAUGUAUCUGCUGACCACACUAACUGCAUGUGAAAUGUCUGGACGAGUGCAAACCAUUGCAUACAUCACGCUUCCAACUGCACUCGAGUAUGGAAUGUGAGACAUUUGCUGCUUUUCUUCAUCAGAUUGUGGUGACAACUCUGCAGAGAGUUUGAAAUGUGGUGCCAACGGAGUACUCACAGUUUUCGCUUUAUCCAUGCCGAAGCGUUGAAGAACCUUUUCAAUGUAGUUCUUCUGCGACACACGAAGCUUGCCCGCCUUGCGAUCUCUGUGAAUAUCCAUGCCCAAAAUUUUCUUGGCAGCACCCAGAUCCUUCAUCUCGAACUCACCACUCAACUGCGACUUUAACUUGUUGAUUUCCGACAUGUUUUUGGAAGCAAUUAACAUGUCAUCAACAUACAGCAACAAAUAAAUGUGCGAACCAUCUGAGAGCUUCCGAUGAUAGACACAAGCAUCAUAGUCACAUCUUGUGUAACCAUGCUGAAUCAUGAAGCUAUCAAACCGCUUGUACCACUGCCUUGGGGAUUGUUUCAAUCCAUAUAAAGACUUCUUUAAUAGACAGACAUGGUCUUCUUUACCAGGAACUGUAAAACCCUCUGGUUGACGCAUGUAGAUUGUUUCCUCGAGCUCACCAUGCAAGAACGCCGUUUUUACGUCAAGCUGCUCAAGUUCUAGAUCAGACUUGGCCACCAUGGCAAGUAAUACACGAAUGGAAGAAUGCUUUACGACUGGGGAGAAAACUUCAUUGUAGUCAAUCCCCUCUUUCUGAGUGAAGCCUUUAGCAACCAAUCGUGCCUUGAAUCUAGUUGCUUCAACCCCUAGGAUGCCUUCCUUUUUCUUGAAGACCCAUUUGCAACCAACUAUCUUCUGGUUACUUGGCGGCUUAACCAACUCCCAAGUAUGGUUCUUGUGAAGAGAUUCUAUCUCCUCACUCAUAGCAAUUGCCCACUGUGCCGACUCAUCACACGUGACAGCCUCAUUAUAACUGGAAGGUUCUAUACCAAUGGACUCCGCCACACUGAGCGCGAAAGACACCAGAUUAGCGUAACGCGGAUUUGGUUUGAUUUGUCUCUUCGUUCUUCCAGUGGCAAUGCUAUAUGGUUUUUCUUGAGGUGACUCAUCUUCAUCGGAAUCUUGCACCUCAACUUGAUCAUCCUGGACUGAAGUACCUUCCGUAGGAAUUGGAGCGUCCACCUGACACUCCACCUGCUUCUCAACACCGUGAUCUCCCAUUCUAUCUGACUCCUCCUUUUCCCGGGAAUUUGUGGUGGAUCGAAGCAUGGAUGACUCAUCAAAAGUCACAUCUCUGCUGAUGAUGAACUUGGACGAAACCGGAUCAGGACACCACAACCUGUAUCCUUUCACCCCUUGGCCGUAUCCAAGAAAUAUGCAUUUCUUCGCCCUCGGUUUGAGUUUUCCCUCAUUUACAUGAGCAUACGCAGGGCAGCCAAACACUCUUAAACCAGAGUAAUCAGCAGGAGAACCAGACCAUACUUCCUCAGGAGUCUUCAGCUCAAUAGCUGUUGACGGAGAUCUGUUAACCAAAUAACAAGCAGUAUUAACAGCUUCAGCCCAAAAUUCUUCACCGAGCCCAGCAUUUGAUCGCAUGCAACGAGCUCGCUCCAAGAGAGUUCUAUUCAUGCGUUCUGCAACUCCAUUUUGUUGUGGUGUUCGACGAACAGUGCGGUGUCUCACUAUUCCUUCAUUUUUGCAGAACUCAUUGAAUUCACCUGAGCAAAACUCCAAGCCAUUAUCCGUCCGGAAUCGCUUGAUCUUCUUUCCUGUUUGAUUUUCGAUCAAAGCUUUAAAUUGCUUGAAGUUGAUGAGAACCUCAUACUUGCUCUUCAGAAAAUACACCCAAACCUUUCUCGAGUAAUCAUCGAUAAAGGUAAGCAGAUAUCUGUAACCACCUUUAGAAAUUGUCGGAGAAGGCCCCCAAAGGUCAGAAUGGAAGUAAUCCACUGUGCCUUUUGUCUUGUGAAUCCCAGUGCUGAACUUUACCCGAGUCUGCUUACCGAAGACGCAGUGCUCACAGAAAUUCAACUUUCCUGUACACUGCCCAGACAAUAAUCCUCGUUUGCUUAGCACCGAUAAGCCUCUCUCGCUCAUAUGCCCGAGCCGCAUAUGCCAUAACUUCGUGGUGUCAGAAUCUAGAUCAUCUGAUGAUGUCACUCCCGCAACACCUGUAACCGAGGAACCAUCGAGGAAGUAAAGGCCCCGCUCCAAAUUACCACGUAUCACAGUCAAAGCACCCGAGAAUACCUUGAGAACUCCACCUUCAGCAGAGUACCGAAAGCCUUUCUUGUCCAACGUACUCAAAGAGAUCAAAUUUUUCUUCAUUUCUGGAAUGUGCCGAACAUCAGUUAGAGUUCUAACAAUACCGUCAAACAUCUUUAUACGAACUGUGCCAAUCCCCAUGACUUGACAUGCGUGGUCAUUUCCCAUUAGUACUGAACCAGAAUGCUUCUCGUAUGUUGAGAAUGCAUCUUUCGAAGUACUUAUAUGAAAUGUAGCUCCCGUAUCAAGAAUCCAUCUCCCACCAGCGUAAGAGUCGGAUACUGCAAGAACGAUCUCGGCAUCACUUGAAGAAUCUGCAUCAGCUACAUUCGCACGAUCAUUUUGUUGCUCCUGUGAUUCUGAUUUCUCCUUCCUUUUCGGACAAUCUACCUUCAUGUGCCCGUACUUCUUACAGUAGUAGCACUGUAUUCUCUUCUUGGACUGCGAUCUAGGAUGGCUUUUACUUGAACUUCCACCCUUUGCCUUGGAUCUUCCUCGAGCAACCAAGCCUUCGCCUUCAUUGUUUUCGACCACCUUACCAGUGAUUUUCUUCCUCAACUCACUGGAACUUAAGGCAUUUUUCACCUCCUCUAGAGUCAGGUCAUCACGACCGUACAUCAUUGUAUCAACAAAAUUCUCAUACGAGGGAGGCAAAGAACACAAAACAAUUAUUGCUUGGUCCUCAUCAUCGAUUUUGUUAUCGAUAUUAUUCAAAUCCAUGAUAAUGGAAUUGAAUUUAUCCAGGUGCUGGGAAACAGGUGUACCUUCCUCCAUCUUCAGGGCAUAGAGUCUUUGCUUGAGGUAGAGCCGGUUCGUCAAUGACUUCGUCAUGUACUUGCUCUCUAACCGGAGCCACAAACCGGACGCGGUUUUCUCAUCCGCUACUUCUCGUAGCACUUCAUCUCCUAGACAUAGCAGAAUAGCACUAUGUGCUCUUUCUAGCAUGUCAUCCUUUUGCUCUUCCGAAAGCGUGCUUGGUAAUUUAUCUUUACCAGACAAUGCUUUUAGCAAUCCUUGUUGAACCAGCACUGCCCGCAUCUUGAUGCGCCAUAAACUGAAACUAUUUUUCCCGGUAAAUUUCUCGACAUCAUACUUAGUCGAUGAAACACUUGUAGCCAUAAUUUGGAACCUUUGAAUGAAUGAUAAUAUUUUCUUCCUGAUGUGAAAGAUCAGACAAAGCUGCAGUCACAGGGCAAUUCAGAAAAUAUUAUCACUCCUUCAACUACGCUCUGAUACCAAUUUGUUGCGGAAAGGAUCGAUUCGAGAACUCCGAUAUGACUACAAGUAAAUUGACCGAAACGAAAAAUAAAGUGAACUCAAGGAUUUACGUGGUUCGGCUUUAAUGCCUACGUCCACGGGCAGAGGCGAAAAGAAAUUUCACUAUAACAAGAUGAAGAUUACAAGUGUUUUACACUCAAGACACAACCCGAGAACCUCACAACUCUCAACCCCUAUAGAAAACCCGAAAGCUAAAAUCCUAGCUUUCAAAGAACAAGCUUUGCUCUCUCUUGGUUUGGGAUGAUUUAUAUGGCUAAUGAACCUCUCUAUUUAUAAGAGAGUUCAAGGACAUAAUUGUCCAAAACUUUGGCAAAGAUUUGUGGUUGAAAAUGGACACCAACAACCAUCCACUAAUCCACUACCACCAACAACCCACUACCAACAACAACAAUCCACUACCAAUUUUAAGCCAUUUCUUAACAAUUCGAAUGUUGCCAACAUCUUCCAUUUCCAUUAACCGGUCUCUCACAAGGAGCACCAUCGCAAGUGGGUGCUCCACAAACGGAUGUAAUAUCACCACCACCGUGGUCCAACCAUUGUGGAGUAAAACUGCUACCGCCGUCCCUGCCAUAAUCCAAGUGUUGCCAACACCUUCCAUUUCCACUAACCGGUCUCUCGCAAGGAGCACCAUUGUAGGUGGUUGCUCCACAAAUUAAUAUAAUAUCAUCACCACCAUGGUCCAACCACUGCGGAGUAAAACUGCUGCCAUAGCCGCCAUAAUUUAAGCUCCGUGAAGUAAAACAACUACUACUGCGACCAUAAUUCGAAUGUUGCCAACAUCUUCCAUUUCCAUUAACCGGUCUCUCACAAGGAGCACCAUCGCAAGUGGGUGCUCCACAAAUGGAUGUAAAAUCACCACCACCACCACCGUGGUCCAACCAUCGUGGAGUAAAACUGCUACCGCC
rnacentral:lncRNA from 1 species